rnacentral:rRNA from 1 species
GGACGACGCUGGCGGCGUGCCUAACACAUGCAAGUCGAGCGGAGUCGGUAAGAGGAAGUUUUCGGAUGGAAUCUUAUUGAUUUAGCGGCGGACGGGUGAGUAACGCGUGAGCGACCAACCUUGCACAGGGGGAUAACGGACCGAAAGGUUCACUAAUACCGCAUGAGACCACGGUGUUGCGUGACACAGAGGUCAAAGGAGCAAUCCGGUGCAAGACGGGCUCGCGUCCGAUUAGGUAGUUGGAGGGGUAACGGCCCACCGAGCCUAUGAUCGGUAGCCGACCUGAGAGGGUGAUCGGCCACAUUGGAACUGAGAUACGGUCCAAACUCCUACGGGAGGCAGCAGUGGGGAAUAUUGGGCAAUGGGGGAAACCCUGACCCAGCAACGCCGCGUGAAGGAAGAAGGUUUUCGGAUUGUAAACUUCUGUCCUUGGUGAAGAGAAGAAGACGGUAGCCAAGGAGGAAGCCCCGGCUAACUACGUGCCAGCAGCAGC